rnacentral:rRNA from 1 species
GAUGAACGCUGGCGGCGUGCCUAAUACAUGCAAGUCGAGCGAACAGACGAGGAGCUUGCUCCUCUGACGUUAGCGGCGGACGGGUGAGUAACACGUGGAUAACCUACCUAUAAGACUGGGAUAACUUCGGGAAACCGGAGCUAAUACCGGAUAAUAUAUUGAACCGCAUGGUUCAAUAGUGAAAGACGGUUUUGCUGUCACUUAUAGAUGGAUCCGCGCCGCAUUAGCUAGUUGGUAAGGUAACGGCUUACCAAGGCGACGAUGCGUAGCCGACCUGAGAGGGUGAUCGGCCACACUGGAACUGAGACACGGUCCAGACUCCUACGGGAGGCAGCAGUAGGGAAUCUUCCGCAAUGGGCGAAAGCUUGACGUAGCAACGCCGCGUGAGUGAUGAAGGUCUUCGGAUCGUAAAACUCUGUUAUUAGGGAAGAACAAAUGUGUAAGUAACUAUGCACGUCUUGACGGUACCUAAUCAGAAAGCCACGGCUAACUACGUG